rnacentral:rRNA from 1 species
AUGCCGUGGCUCCUUGAUGCAUGCACGCGUCAACAUAGGAUCUGCCUAGACCUAGCGAUUCAGCGAGAUUGCAAUGGAGUAUGCACAACGCCAAUAUUUCCCUUGCGAGAUUCUACAUCAGCGUGGCCGUCGGGUCUUCCUUGGAUUGGGUUAUACUGGAUCGGUGUCGUCCUCACACUAGAAGCCCCGCCUUUCUGCAAGGUACACAACUUGCUCGCUACAGAGGAAAGAGAUGAUGCACAUUACUCCUUUCUGCAAGUAAAGAAAGGAUAUGUUCUCAUAACAAGGAUGGAAAGUAUAACAGGUUACAAAAACCAAUAUGGACAACACAGAUCUGAAAGUGAUGGACAGAAGAAGAAAGGGCGAGGUGUACUUUUCGUAUUUAGGACAAAGCAUUUAAAGAGGUUCAAAACAAAGAAAAUGAAACUGAAGGUCCAGUUUCCAGUGAACAUAGAAGCAAUAUUUUCCAGACCGCAUAGAAAGACACUCCGCAAUGCAACUCAUCACAGCCUUAUGGAGCAAGAACGUGCUACAACAGAGAUCCAAAAGGUAAACUCUGAGCUCAGCCAUCAGGUCACCGAAUUACAAGAUCAAUUACAAGCUGAACGUGAAAGCACACAAGAGAGGAUUAACUUCGAGCGUGCUAAGAGAGAAAACCUUGAGGAGAGGUUAAAAGAAGAGCGUGCUGAAACGGAAAGAUUGUUGGAAGAGGAGCGAAGAUCAAUAUUGGAAUUUGAGAAAAACAUGAUGGCAAAGUUUGCACAGUUCUCCCAACAGACGCAAACACAUCAGAUGAAUAAGAAAAGGACUAACAAAGAAAUUAAUAAUCCAAACUUGCAAAAUACUCUUUUACAGACCGCUAGUACUACUGGGACUCUAGGUACAAGGCACAAUGUAAUUGCUCCCAAUAUGCUCAUACAAGCUGCAAAUAUUCGAAUGUUUCGAGCAAUGGAUCCAAAGAUUAACUAG